GACUCUCGGCAACGGAUAUCUCGGCUCUCGCAUCGAUGAAGAACGUAGCGAAAUGCGAUACUUGGUGUGAAUUGCAGAAUCCCGUGAACCAUCGAGUCUUUGAACGCAAGUUGCGCCCGAAGCCUCCGGCCGAGGGCACGCCUGCCUGGGCGUCACGCA
rnacentral:rRNA from 1 species